UGGCUGGCGGAAACGGGAACCUGCAGCCGCGGGCGCCGGGGUCCUGAGGCAUGGCGGGGGCGGGGCAGGGGGAGGCGCGCACGGAACAGGCUGGGGCAUCCUUCUCCUUGGCUCUUUGAGCCUGGACCAGACAGAGAUGUGAUAAUGGAUCAUCAUGUUUCCACCAUCAAGCCUCGAAGAAUCCAAAACCAAAAUGUCAUUCACCGCUUGGAACGGCGGCGGAUCAGUUCAGGCAAGGCAGGCACCCACUGGCACCAAGUGCGAGUGUUCCAUCAGAAUGUCUUCCCCAACUUCACAGUUGUCAGCGUUGAAAAGCCUCCUUGUUUCUUGCGUAAAUUCUCACCUGAUGGACGCUACUUUAUUGCUUUUUCUUCAGACCAGACAUCUCUUGAAAUCUAUGAGUACCAGGGCUGCCAGGCAGCAGAGGACCUACUGCAGGGAUACGAAGGAGAAAUCCUGUCCAAUGGCAAUGACCAGCGGUCAGUCAAUAUCCGGGGCCGGCUCUUUGAACGCUUUUUUGUCCUGCUACACAUUACCAAUGUUGCGGCCAAUGGUGAGCACCUGAACCGGGAGUGUAGUCUCUUCACUGAUGACUGCCGGUGUGUCAUCGUGGGCUCAGCUGCUUACCUCCCAGAUGAGCCUCACCCUCCAUUUUUUGAGGUAUAUCGGAACAGUGAGUCAGUGACUCCCAACCCACGGUCCCCUCUAGAAGAUUAUUCCCUGCACAUCAUUGACCUUCACACUGGCCGCUUAUGUGAUACACGCACAUUCAAGUGUGACAAGGUGGUCUUGUCACACAACCAAGGGCUAUACUUGUACAAAAAUAUCCUGGCCAUCUUGUCCGUGCAACAACAGACAAUCCAUGUCUUCCAGGUGACUCCUGAAGGCACUUUCAUUGAUGUGCGGACCAUUGGUCGCUUUUGCUAUGAGGAUGACCUGCUCACUGUGUCAGCUGUUUUCCCUGAGGUACAGCGGGACAGUCAGACAGGCAUGGCCAAUCCCUUUAGGGACCCUUUCAUCAACUCCCUCAAACACCGGUUGCUGGUGUAUUUGUGGCGCCGGGCAGAACAGGAUGGUAGCGCAAUGGCCAAGAGGCGCUUCUUCCAGUAUUUUGACCAACUGCGGCAGCUGCGCAUGUGGAAAAUGCAGCUUCUGGAUGAAAACCAUCUGUUUAUCAAGUACACUAGCGAGGAUGUGGUAACACUGCGAGUCACAGACCCAUCACAGGCAUCUUUCUUUGUGGUGUACAAUAUGGUGACGACAGAGGUGAUUGCUGUGUUUGAGAAUACGUCAGACGAGCUUUUGGAGCUCUUUGAGAACUUCUGUGACCUUUUUCGUAAUGCUACCCUGCACAGUGAAGUCCAGUUUCCCUGCUCAGCUUCCAGCAACAAUUUUGCAAGGCAGAUCCAGCGCCGGUUCAAAGACACUAUUAUAAAUGCCAAGUACGGAGGGCACACAGAGGCGGUCCGCCGGCUGCUGGGUCAGCUCCCCAUCAGUGCUCAGUCUUACAGUGGUAGCCCCUAUCUGGAUUUGUCUCUCUUCAGUUAUGAUGAUAAGUGGGUAUCUGUCAUGGAGCGGCCCAAGACUUGCGGAGAUCACCCAAUCAGCUCUUCAAGUACUUGGGUUCCAGGAAGGACCGUGAAAGAGAUGAGAGGCCAUGGAUGCAGCAGCUGUUCCUGGGAGAACUAAGUGGACAAAAAAUGUGCUUUUGCCUGCUCCCAGGGACAAGACCACCAGGAUCUUCUGAGUGUCCUCUCCCAGAGGCAGCCCGGCUGGCACAGCAGAGGGGGCUGGAGAGGGGUCCUUGCAGUGCACCAAGGCUCCCCCGCCCUUUCAGAGAGCCCGGGAUCAGGCCCAGAUAGGAUUUCUUACAUUAGGAUCCUGAGACUAUUUAAGAAUUGAUUUGCAUCCACUUUGUUCCUGUAGACGGGAUCUCUGACAUUAGAAUCACAGAGCUUUUGUGUAUGGAUGGCUUAAGAUAUUUUCCAGGCCCCGCAUUCCAGGAACCAGUUUGAAGACCCCAGAAUGGGAUUGGCAUGAGAGUAUAGUUGUUUCAUCUCCUUGUCCCGUGACUUCACCCUGCACUCUUCCACCCACCAAUCGAUGCUCUCCACACUUCGGCCCACUCAAAAACUCUUAAACCUAGCCCCAAACUCCUUGGGGAGAUGGAUUUAAGGUUUCCUCCAUCUCCUCAUUCAGUGACCCUAAGAUCAAACUCCUUUCUGUACAGCAAACUGGUGUCUCGGCAUAUUGACUUGCUGUGCACAUCGGGCAAUAAACCUGUCACAGUUUCAGAAACAAUCUGCUGUUGCUUCUUCCAGCUUCUGGUGGGUGUUGGCAUUUCUUGGCCUGUGGCUGAAUUUCUCCAGCCUCUGCCUCUGUGGUCACAUGGCCUUUCCUCUUCUGUCUGUGCAGUCAAAUCUUCUGGCUCUGUUUUAUAAGGAUAUCUCUGACUGCAUUUAGGACCCACCAGAUAAUCCAGAGAAUCUCCCCAUUUCAAGAUCCCUAAUUUGUUUCUUUUUUUUUUUUUUUUAAGAGUUGGGGGUCUUGCUAUGUUGCCCAGGCUGGACUCG